rnacentral:rRNA from 1 species
GACGAACGCUGGCGGCGUGCUUAACACAUGCAAGUCGAACGGAAAGGCCCCGCUUUUGUGGGGUGCUCGAGUGGCGAACGGGUGAGUAACACGUGAGUAACCUGCCCUUCACUUUGGGAUAACUUCAGGAAACUGGGUCUAAUACCGGAUAGGAGCUCCUGCUGCAUGGUGGGGGUUGGAAAGUUUCGGCGGUUGGGGAUGGACUCGCGGCUUAUCAGCUUGUUGGUGGGGUAGUGGCUUACCAAGGCUUUGACGGGUAGCCGGCCUGAGAGGGUGACCGGCCACAUUGGGACUGAGAUACGGCCCAGACUCCUACGGGAGGCAGCAGUGGGGAAUAUUGCACAAUGGGCGGAAGCCUGAUGCAGCAACGCCGCGUGCGGGAUGACGGCCUUCGGGUUGUAAACCGCUUUCGCCUGUGACGAAGCGUGAGUGACGGUACUGGGUAAAGAAGCACCGGCUAACUACGUG